rnacentral:pre_miRNA from 1 species
UGGAGGAACAACCGCAGUGGCGGCGGCAGCUCUGCCGCCCUGGAGUCAGCUCCCACAGUAACUCCAGAGCUCUCAGCCUGCAGGGCCUGGAUGCUCGGGGGCGGG